rnacentral:rRNA from 1 species
CUUUUGAUUAUAAUUUAAGGUCUGACCUGCUCAAUGAAAUUUUAAAUAGCCGCGGUAUUUUGACCGUGCAAAGGUAGCAUAAUCAUUUGUUUUUUAAUUGAAAGCUGGAAUGAAAGGUUGAAUGAAAAVAUAACUGUCUCUAUUUAAUUUUAUNNGAACUUUAUUUUUAAGUUAAAAAGCUUAAAUAUAAUUKGAAGACGAGANGNCCCUAUAGAGUUUUAUAAUUAAAAAUUUAGAUGAUUUAGUAUUAAUUUCUUUUAAAUAUAAUAAUUAUUUAAUUGGGGUGAUUAAAAAAUUAAAUUAACUUUUUUUUUAUUUAAUCACUAAUUAGUGAAUAAUUGAUCCUUUUAAAAGAUUAAAAGAAUAAAUUACCUUAGGGAUAACAGCGUAAUUUUUUUUUAGAGUUCUAAUCGAAAAAAAAVWUUGCGACCUCGAUGUUGGAUUAAAAUUAAUUUUUGGUGUAGAAGCUAAA